rnacentral:lncRNA from 1 species
GACAACAUCGAUCUCCACUUUGUAUCAAUGCUUCUUUCGUCACUAAAAUAAAUUCUAAAUGGACUAUACGCCAGGUUUUAGAAGUACAGGGAUGAAAAGCAAAGGACCAUUAAGUGCCUGGCUGGCUGAAGAGCCCUCACGUUUUAAAGAAUCUGGAGGAAUUUCAAAAGAAGGCAUUGAAGAAUUGACUAAAACGAGGAGAGACAUGGCACUUUUCUGAAGUCUGCCCAUUUGUGGAAGAUUAUUAGAGUCAGACGUAAAGAAACUGCCACCCAGAAUUCUUCCUGUUUAAGCUUUUCCAAAUGCCUUAUUGUUAGUUUUCCAAGCAUCUCAAAAAGUUAUAGUCUCAAAAAAGUUCUUUCACAAUGGCUUGAGAAAUGUUUUCCCAAAGUCAAAUUUGAACAUCUCCCUGGGGUCAGAUACAGUGCUUGGUGAGUCUCUCCACAGUAAAUACUGAAUCAGAUAUGUUUGCGUGAAGU